rnacentral:rRNA from 1 species
UAUGUGAUCGUCUCUCGCAUAUCAAUAAGCGGAGGAAAAGGAACUAACAAGGAUUCCCCUAGUAACGGCGAGUGAAGCGGGAAGAGCUCAAAUUUGAAAUCUUAAAGGGUUUCCCUUUACGAAUUGUAGUUUAAAGAAGUGUUUUCUGUUGAGGUUUUGGUAAAAGUUCUUUGGAAUAGGACAUCAUAGAGGGUGAGAAUCCCGUAUUUGACCUUUACUUUCAACUUUGUGAUACACUUUCAAAGAGUCGGAUUGUUUGGGAAUGCAGUCCAAAAUGGGUGGUAAAUUUCAUCUAGAGCUAAAUAUUGGCGAGAGACCGAUAGCGAACAAGUACCGUGAGGGAAAGAUGAAAAGAACUUUGAAAAGAGAGUUAAACAGUACGUGAAAUUGUCAAAAGGGAAGCGUUUGACACCAGUGUUGUUUUUCUGAAAAUCAAUUAAAGAACUGUUUAUGCUAAGCUGUUUAGACUUUAUCAGCUAACUGUUUAGUUUUGAGCUUUUCUUUAAUGCACUUUUCAGUUAACAAGUCAACAUCAAUUUCUUUUGCUGUAAAAAAGCUUGAGGAAGGUGGCUUGAGAUUCGUCUUAAGUGUUUAUAGCCUCUUGCCUAUGCAGUCGGAGAGAUUGAGGUCUGCAGCGUAGAUCCUUCGGGGCUAAAUGCAUUUGUGCUAAGUUAUAAGCAUUUUAUAGACAACUUGUUGACUAUGAUUUGUCUUGUAGCUUACUCGCUUAUGUUAUUUUACCUACGCUUAGGAUGUUGAGUAGCGACAUACGCAC